UACGUAGGGGGCUAGCGUUGUCUGGAAUCAUUGGGCGUAAAGCGCGUGUAGGCGGCCCGGUAAGUCCCUGUGAAAGUCCAGGGCUCAACCCUGGAAUGCCGGUGGAAACUGUCGGGCUAGAGUCCGGAAGAGGCGAGUGGAAUUCCUGGUGUAGCGGUGAAAUGCGCAGAUAUCAGGAGGAACACCAAUGGCGAAGGCAGCUCGCUGGGACGGUACUGACGCUGAGACGCGAAAGCGUGGGGAGCAAACAGG
rnacentral:rRNA from 1 species